GUGCUUUCUUCAGCAGCACAAAUACUAAAAUUGAAAUGAUAUACAGAUUAACAUGGCCCCUGCACAAGGGUGACAUAGAAAUUCAUGAAAUGUUUCAUAUUUAA